GGCAACUUGGCCGAGUUGGUCUAAGGCGCUAGCUUCAGGCUCGUUCUUGAUUGCUAGUCUCGGUUUCGGGGCGUGAGUUCGAAUCUCACAGUUGUCA
rnacentral:tRNA from 1 species